rnacentral:rRNA from 1 species
CCUACGGGCGGCAGCAGUGAGGAAUAUUGGUCAAUGGCCGGAAGGCUGAACCAGCCAUGCCGCGUGAAGGUCAGUGCCCUAUGGGCGUUAAACUUCUUUUGUGCGGGAGCAAUAAUGGUCACGUGUGACUCAUUGAGAGUACCCGAAGAAAAAGCAUCGGCUAACUCCGUGCCAGCAGCCGCGGUAAUACGGAGGAUGCGAGCGUUAUCCGGAUUUAUUGGGUUUAAAGGGUGCGCAGGCGGAGGUGCAAGUCAGCGGUCAAAUUGCGGGGCUCAACCCCGUACUGCCGUUGAAACUGCAUCCCUUGAGUGCGCGAGAAGUAUGCGGAAUGCGUGGUGUAGCGGUGAAAUGCAUAGAUAUCACGCAGAACUCCGAUUGCGAAGGCAGCUUACUAAACUGCCACUGACAUUGAUGCUCGAAAGUGUGGGUAUCAAACAGGAUUAGAUACCCGAGUAGUC